GUAGGGAAUCUUCCACAAUGGACGAAAGUCUGAUGGAGCAACGCCGCGUGAGUGAUGAAGGUUUUCGGAUCGUAAAACUCUGUUGUAAGGGAAGAACAAGUGCGUUAGGUAAUGAACGCACCUUGACGGUACCUUAUUAGAAAGCCACGGCUAACUACGUGCCAGCAGCCGCGGUAAUACGUAGGUGGCAAGCGUUGUCCGGAUUUAUUGGGCGUAAAGCGCGCGCAGGUGGUUUCUUAAGUCUGAUGUGAAAGCCCACGGCUCAACCGUGGAGGGUCAUUGGAAACUGGGAGACUUGAGUGCAGAAGAGGAUAGUGGAAUUCCAAGUGUAGCGGUGAAAUGCGUAGAGAUUUGGAGGAACACCAGUGGCGAAGGCGACUGUCUGGUCUGUAACUGACACUGAGGCGCGAAAGCGUGGGGAGCAAACAGGAUUAGAAACCCGUGUAGUCC
rnacentral:rRNA from 1 species